rnacentral:rRNA from 1 species
GGGGGGGGGGGGGGGGGGGGGUGGCAGGGGGGGGUGGGAGGGGGGGGGGGGGGGUGGGUGGGGUGCUGGAGUGGCGCGCGGGUGGGUAACACGUGGGUAACCUGGGCUUGACUUUGGGGUGACUUCAGGGAACUGGGGCUACUAGCGGAAAGGAGGUCCUGCUGCAUGGUGGGGGUUGGACAGUUUCGGCGGUUGGGGAUGGACUCGCGGCUUAUCAGCUGGUUGGUGGGGUGGUGGCUUACCAAGGCUUGGACGGGUAGCCGGCCUGAUAGGGUGACCGGCCACAUUGGGACUGAGAUACGGCCCAGACUCCUACGGGAGGCAGCAGUGGGGAAUAUUGCACAAUGGGCGGAAGCCUGAUGCAGCAACGCCGCGUGCGGGAUGACGGCCUUCGGGUUGUAAACCGCUUUCGCCUGUGACGAAGCGUGAGUGACGGUAAUGGGUAAAGAAGCACCGGCUAACUACGUG